rnacentral:rRNA from 1 species
GGUCAAGCUAUUAAGAGCAUUCGGUGGAUGCCUUGGCUCCAAGAGGCGAAGAAGGACGUGGUAAAACUGCGAUAAGCGACGGGGAGUUGUUAACAAGCAUUGAUCCGUCGAUCUCCGAAUCGGGAAACCGACACAGAGUUAUGUCUGUGUGUCCCCUGGCUGAAUACAUAGGCUGGGGGAAGCGAACGAGGGGAACUGAAACAUCUCAGUACCCUCAGGAAAAGAAAUCAAAUCAGAGAUUCCGCUAGUAGUGGCGAGCGAACGCGGAACAGCCCAAACAGUAUGUAUGCAAGCCUGCCGGCGUUGUACGUACUGUGUUGUAGGGCCAUCCAGGUAUCUCGGCAGAGAUACCAAGGGACACUAAAUGAGUAGUCGAACAACCUGGGAAGGUUGGUCAUAGAGCGUGAUAACCGCGUAGACGAAACUCAAAUAGACCCUGGGUGGUUCCUGAGUACAACGGGACACGGGAAACCCUGUUGGAAUCUGGGAGGACCAUCUCCCAAGGCUAAAUACUACUUGGAGACCGAUAGUGAACCAGUACCGUGAGGGAAAGGUGAAAAGCACCCCCGCGAGGGGAGUGAAAAGUUUCUGAAACCGAAUGUUUACAAGCCGUGGAAGCACUAUGACCGCAAGGUAAUGUGCGACCGCGUGCCUUUUGCAUAAUGAUCCUGCGAGUUACGAUGUCCGGCAAGGUUAAGUCGCUAGACGAAGCCGAAGCGAAAGCGAGUCUGAAUAGGGCGUCUAGUCGGAUGUCGUAGACCCGAAACCCGGCGAUCUAUCCAUGGGCAGGCUGAAGAGCGGGUAACACCGCUUGGAGGGCCGAACUCACCACAGUUGAAAAUGUGGGGGAUGACCUGUGGAUCGGAGUGAAAGGCUAAUCAAGCUGGGUUAUAGCUGGUUCUCGCCGAAACAUAUUUAGGUAUGGCGUCUGAGGUAUUCUUCUUCGGAGGUAAAGCACUGGAUGGGCUAGGGGUCUUACCCGAUUACCAAACCCAACCAAACUCUGAAUGCCGAAGAAAGCGACCCAGGCAGACAGGCUAUGAGAGCUAAGUUCCAUGGCCAAAAGGGAAAGAGCCCAGACCGUCAGCUAAGGUCCCCAAAUCAGCACUAAGUGGGAAAGGAUGUGGAGGCACAUUGACAGCCAGGAGGUUGGCUUAGAAGCAGCCAUCCUUUAAAGAAAGCGUAAUAGCUCACUGGUCAAGUGAAUCUGCGCCGAAAAUGUAACGGGGCUAAAGUGUUGUACCGAAGCUACGGAUUCUAGUUAAGACUGCGGUCUUAGCAGAGUGGUAGGCGAGCAUUCUCUCGACUGCGAAGGUCAACGGUAACGAUGGCUGGAGUAGAGAGAAGAGCUUAUGCAGGAUUGAGUAGCGAUAAAACAGGUGAGAAACCUGUUCGCCGUAAGCCCAAGGGUUCCUGGGUCAAGUUAAUCUUCCCAGGGUUAGUCGGUCCCUAAGCGGAGGCCGAAAGGCGUACGUGAUGGGAAGCAGGUUAAUAGUCCUGCACCACAUUGGAUGGUUUCUACAGAAGGGACGGAGAAAGGCGAUCGAGCCGGGUAUUGGAUACCGGUUCAAGCGAGUAGGGAGACUCUUUAGGAGGCCUAGUGCCACAAACGGAGAGUCAAUCCUGAGACGUGAUGAGGAGAGCGCUUGCGCUCACAAACUCGAUGAUCCUCAGCUCCCAAGAAAAGCUUCGGUAGAGUUAACCGCUGAUGUGACCGUACCGCAAACCGACACAGGUGGGCGGGGAGAAGAUCCCAAGGCGCUUGAGAGAACUCUGCCUAAGGAACUCGGCAAAAUGACACCGUAACUUCGGGAGAAGGUGUGCCCUCAUUACGUGAACCUGCACAAGGGGAGCGGAAGGGGGUUGCAGAGAAUCGGGGGUAGCGACUGUUUAUCAAAAACACAGCACUCUGCGAAGUCGCAAGACGACGUAUAGGGUGUGAUGCCUGCCCGGUGCUGGAAGGUUAAAGAGAGGACUCAGCCGCAAGGCAAAGGUCCGAACUGAAGCCCCAGUAAACGGCGGCCGUAACUAUAACGGUCCUAAGGUAGCGAAAUUCCUUGUCGGGUAAGUUCCGACCUGCACGAAUGGCAUAACGACUUCCCCACUGUCUCGGGCAGAGACUCAGCGAAGUAGCACUAGGGGUGAAGAUACCCUUUACCCACGACAGGACGGAAAGACCCCGUGAACCUUCACUACAGCUUGACAUUGUUUGACGGAAAGAUUUGCGUAGGAUAGGUGGGAGGCUAUGAAGCAGGGAUUCCGGUCUCUGCAGAGCCAACGUUGAAAUACCACCCUGAUUUUUCUGGCAAACUAACCUACACCCGUGAGCCGGGUGGGGGACACUGUC